AACGGCCGCGGUAUCCUAACCGUGCGAAGGUAGCGUAAUCACUUGUUCUUUAAAUGAGGACUAGUAUGAAUGGCACCACGAGGGUUAAGCUGUCUCCUUUUUCUAAUCAGUGAAACUAAUCUCCCCGUGAAGAAGCGGGGAUUAUACUAUAAGACGAGAAGACCCUAUGGAGCUUAAAACAAAUUAACACUUGCUUCUAUCCAUUUUUACUCCUGAACUAACACAUAAAAUAUAGCAUCGUUGAUUAAUAGUUUUCGAUUGGGGUGAUCAUGGAGUAAAAACCAACCUCCACGACGAAAAGGAACACUUCCCUGAGCUAAAAGCUACAACUUUAAGCACUAAAAAAUUAACGCACUUUGACCCAAAUUUUUGAGCAACGAACCAAGUUACCCUGGGGAUAACAGCGCAAUCCAUUUCAAGAGCCCCUAUCGACAAAUGGGUUUACGACCUCGAUGUUGGAUCAGGGUAUCCCAGUGGUGCAGCCGCUACUAAAGGUUCGUUUGUUCAACGAUUAAAACCCUACGUGAUCUGAGUUCAGACCGGAGAAAUCCAGGUCAGUUUCUAUCUAUAAAGGGCUUUUUCUAGUACGAAAGGACCGAAAAAGCAUGGCCAAUGAUCAAUUAAGCCAUAUAAAUUACUCAUGUUUUCAACUCAAUUAGAAACAAACCUACCAUAAACCUCAAAAAAAGAGAAGUUAACGUAGCAAAACCUGGCCCUGCAA
rnacentral:rRNA from 1 species